rnacentral:rRNA from 1 species
UACGAAGGGGGCUAGCGUUGCUCGGAAUCACUGGGCGUAAAGGGUGCGUAGGCGGGUUCUUUAAGUCAGAGGUGAAAUCCUGGAGCUCAACUCCAGAACUGCCUUUGAUACUGAGAGUCUUGAGUUCGAGAGAGGUGAGUGGAACUGCGAGUGUAGAGGUGAAAUUCGUAGAUAUUCGCAAGAACACCAGUGGCGAAGGCGGCUCACUGGCUCGAUACUGACGCUGAGGCACGAAAGCGUGGGGAGCAAACAGG